AUGGACCGGAACACUAAAGAUGGGCGACUCUGGUGCAGUAGUGGCGAUAUCCGACAACACUUUUUUGUGAGAUUAGCAGAUCCAGCGAUAUCUUCGGUUGAUGGAGCAUCAACAGUGGCAAUUGGUAGGGUUUACAGCAGAUCUGGAACCUGUGGUACGACAGAGGUACAGUGGGCUGUGCGAACGGAGGCACUGCUGAUCGAGCAGAGGAUUGCUGUUGGAGAUCGAAGGUGUGAAGAACUGAGAGGAUUCGACGGUGAUUGGUGA